UAUCAAAGAAGGUUUCAGGAGACUAUGC
rnacentral:piRNA from 2 species